UUAUGGGGUUGUUUAACUGGUUUAUCUGUUCCUGAUUUAACUUCGGUACCUGGUAUCUGUCUAGGAAAUUAUCCAUUUCCUGCAGAUUUUCAAGUUUUGUUGAAUAUAGGCUUUUAUAGUAAGAUCUGAUGAUUUUUUGAAUUUCCUCUUAAUCUGUAGUUAUGUCUCCCUUUUCAUUUCUGAUUUUGUUAAUUUGGACACACUCUCUGUGUCCUCUUGUUAGUCUGGCUAAGGGUUUAUCUAUCUUGUUGAUUUUCUCAAAGAACCAACUUUUGGUUCUGUUGAUUCUUUGUAUGGUCCUUUUUGUUUCUACUUGGUUGAUUUCAGCUCUGAGUUUGAUUAUUUCCUGCCUUCUACUCCUCCUGGGUGUAUUUGCUUCUUUUUGUUCUAGAGCUUUUAGGUGUGCUGUCAAGCUGCUGACAUAUGCUCUUUCCUGUUUCUUUCUGCAGGCACUCAGCGCUAUGAGUUUUCCUCUUAGCACAGCUUUCAUUGUGUCCCAUAAGUUUGGGUAAGUUGUACCUUCAUUUUCAUUAAAUUCUAAAAAGUUUUUAAUUUCUUUCUUUAUUUCUUCCUUGACCAGGUUAUCAUUGAGUAGAGCAUUGUUCAAUUUCCACGUAUAUGUGGGCAUUCUUCCCUUAUUGUUAUUGAAGACCAGUUUUAGGCCGUGGUGGUCUGAUAGCACGCAUGGGAUUAUUUCUAUCUUUCUGUACCUGUUGAGGCCCGUUUUUUUGCCCAAUUAUAUGGUCAAUUUUGGAGAAAGUACCAUGAGGAGCUGAGAAGAAGGUAUAUCCUUUUGCUUUAGGAUAGAAUGUUCUAUAAAUAUCUGUUAAGUCCAUUUGGCUCAUGACUUCUCUUAGUCUGUCUACGUCUCUGUUUAUUUUCUGUUUCCGUGAUGUGUCCAUUGAUGAGAGUGGGGUGUUGAAAUCUCCUACUAUUAUUGUGUGAGGUGCAAUGUGUGUUUUGAGCUUUAGUAAGAUUUCUUUUACACAUGUAGGUGCCCUUGUAUUUGGGGCAUAGAUAUUUAGGAUUGAGAGUUCAUCUUGGUGGAUUUUUCCUUUGAUGAAUAUGAAGUGUCCUUCCUUAUCUUUUUUUGAUGACUUUUAGUUGAAAAUUGAUUUUAUUUGAUAUUAGAAUGGCUACUCCAGCUUGCUUCUUCUGAUCAUUUGCUUUGAAAGUUGUUUUCCAGCCUUUCACUCUGAGGUAGUGUCUGUCUUUGUCUCUGAGGUGUGUUUCCUGUAGGCAGCAGAAUACAGGGUCCUCGUUGCGUAUCCAGUUUGUUAAUCUAUGUCUUUUUAUUGGGGAGUUGAGGCCAUUGAUGUUGAGAGAUAUUAAGGAAUAGUGAUUAUUGCUUCCUUGUUAUAUUCAUAUUUGGAUGUGAGGUUAUGUUUGUGUGCUUUUCUUCUCUUUGUUUUGUUGCCAAGACGAUUAGUUUCUUGCUUCUUCUAGGGUAUAGCUUGUCUCCUUAUGUUGGGCUUUACCAUUUAUUAUCCUUUGUAGUGCUGGAUUUGUAGGAAGAUAUUGUGUAAAUUUGGUUUUGUCAUGGAAUAUCUUGGUUUCUCCAUCUAUGUUAAUUGAGAGUUUUGCAGGAUACAGUAACCUGGGCUGGCAUUUGUGUUCUCUUAGGGUCUGUAUGACAUCAGUCCAGGAUCUUCUGGCCUUCAUAGUUUCUGGCGAAAAGUCUGGUGUGAUUCUGAUAGGUCUGCUUUUAUAUGUUACUUGACCUUUUUCCCUUACUGCUUUUAAUAUUCUUUCUUUAUUUUGUGCGUUUGGUGUUUUGACUAUUAUGUGACGGGAGGUGUUUCUUUUCUGGUCCAAUCUAUUUGGAGUUCUGUAGGCUUCUUGUAUGCCUAUGGGUAUCUCUUUUUUUAGGUUAGAGAAGUUUUCUUCUAUGAUUUUGUUGAAGAUAUUUACUGGUCCUUUGAGCUGGGAGUCUUCACUCUCUUCUAUACCUAUUAUCCUUAGGUUUGAUCUUCUCAUUGAGUCCUGGAUUUCCUGUAUGUUUUGGACCAGUAGCUUUUUCCACUUUACAUUAUCUUUGACAGUUGAGUCAAUGAUUUCUAUGGAAUCUUCUGCUCCUGAGAUUCUCUCUUCUAUCUCUUGUAUUCUGUUGGUGAAGCUUGUAUCUACAGCUCCUUGUCUCUUCUUUUGGUUUUCUAUAUUCAGGGUUGUUUCCAUGUGUUCUUUCUUGAUUGCUUCUAUUUCCAUUUUUAAUUCCUUCAACUGUUUGAUUGUGUUUUCCUGGAAUUCUUUCAGGGAUUUUUGUGACUCCUCUCUACGGGCUUCUACUUGUUUAUUUAUGUUUUCCUGGAAUUCUUUCAGGCAUUUUUGCGAUUCCUCUCUGUAGGCUUCUACUUGUUUAUUAAUGUUUUCCUGUGUUUCUCUAAGGGAGUUCUUCACGUCUUUCUUGAAGUCCUCCAGCAUCAUGGUCAAAUAUGAUUUUGAAACUAGAUCUUGCUUUUCUGGUGUGUUUGGAUAUUCCAUGUUUGUUUUGAUGGGAGAAUUGGGCUCCGAUGGUGCCAUGUUGUCUUGGUUUCUGUUGCUUGGGUUCCUGCGCUUGCCUCUCGCCAUCAGAUUAUCUCUAGUGUUACUUUGUUCUGCUAUUUCUGACAGUGGCUAGACUGUCCUAUAAGCCUGUGUGUCAGGAGUGUUGUAGACCUGUUUUCCUGUUUUCUUUCAGCCAGUUAUGGAGACAGAGUGUUCUGCUUUCGGGCGUGUAGUUUUUCCUCUCUACAGGUCUUCAGCUGUUCCUGUGGGCCUGUGUCUUGAGUUCACCAGGCAUGUCACUUGCAGAAGAAAAGUUGGUCUUACCUGUGGUCCCGAGGCUCAAGUUCGCUCGCGGGGUGUUGCUCACAAGCUCUCUGUGGCGGCAGCAACCAGGAAGAUCUGCGCCGCCGUUUCCGGGAGCUUCUGUGCACCAGGGUUCCAGAUGGCGUUUGGUGUUUUCCUCUGGAGUCCGAGAUGUGUGCAGAGUGCAGUCUCUUCUGGUUUCCCAGGCGUGUCUGCCUCUCUGAAGGUUUAGCUCUCCCUCCCACGGGAUUUGGGUGCAGAGAACUGUUUAUCUGGUCUGUUCCUUCAGGUUCCGGCGGUGUCUCAGGCACACCCCUUCCGCUCCUGGGCCCUCCCCCACCGGAAACCCCAGAUUUUUUAAAGGGAGUUUUUUCAUUUCCUCUUUAAGAACCUCUCUCAUCUUCAUAUAGUUGGUUUUAAGUAAGGUCUUUUUCCUGUGAUUCAGCUAUGUUGGAGAAUUCAGGGCCUGCUGUGGUAGGAUAUGUGGGCUCCACUGAAGACAAACUGUCCUGCUAUUGGUAUGUCGGUACCUGGGUUUGGGAUGAUUAUAGGUUUAUACUUAUUGGAUAGUUGUUUUGUUCCUUGGUUUCGGUUUCUAUUCUGGAUUUUCAAAGUGUGUUGCCUGUUUUACUAGCCUUCUCAGCUGGUGUGUUCACAGUUAAUGCCCAGUUAAGUGGUUGGGAUAGAGGUAGGAGUUUGGGAAGGGAGUUUAGGAGGGGAUGAUCUGUGGGAUCCACAGGAGAUGUGGGCAGCAGGGAAGGGAAGCUACAGCUGGUGAUCAGUUGCAGCAUUAGGAAUGAGACUGAGGGAUUGGGUCUAGGGGAACAAGAGAGAUGUUUCUUUCUUUCUUACUGACUUUUAAUUUUUUAUUCUGUUUUGACUUUUAUUUUUGUUUUCUUUUUUUAAAAGAUUUAUUUAUUUUUAUUUAUAUGAAUACAUUGUUGCUGUCUUCAGACAGACCAGAAGAGAGCAUCAGAUCCAAUUACAGAUGGUUGUGAGCCACCAUGUGGUUGCUGGGAAUUGAACUCAUGACCACUGGAAGAGCAGUCAGUGCUCUUAACCGCUGAGCCAUCUCUCCAGCCCCCCUGUUUUGAUUUUCAUUUUUUCUUAUUGUUGUUUUGUUUGAGAGAGAGAGAGAGAGAGAGAGAGAGAGAGAGAGAGAGAGAAUAUGAGGGAACAAUUUUGAGAGAGAAAAGAACACAAAACAUAGUGUAUAAAAUGUUUAUUUUAAUAAAAACAAUAAAGAAAGAAAGGAUAUCGGCUGAACAAACAAACAACAAACAAGCAAGCAAACACCUCUCCCCACAAUUUUAGGAUGGUAUAAAAUCUCAAGAAUAAAACUUUUAAAUUAUUUGAUGACCACUCAAUCAACCUUUCACUUGAUUUGUGCAGUUGCAUUUCAGUUUACUUGUCAAGCUGUUUUCCAUUAGUUUUUAUUUUAAAUUUUUCAUACAAUGUAUUUUGAUCAUAUUUUUUCUCUCCCCCAAAUCCUCUCAGAUUAUUCUACUGCCCUACCAUUUUGCUUUAUGUGUUAUUUUUUUUCCUCUCAAAGGGAGCAAAAGAAAACAAAUUAAAACCUCCAAACUGAAAAUCAAAACAAACAAAACCUCAAUAAGGCAAACAAACAAGCAAAUAAACAAAAACCAAAUAACAACCCCCACCCCACACAUACCAUGGUAUCUGUUUUGUAUUGACUAACUUACUCGUGGGUACCAGACCUACCCUGGAGUGUGGCUGAUAGACCCAGUGACAUCCCGUUAGAAGAAAUUAUUUUCCCUUUUCCAGCAAAUAUAAAUAGCUUUUUAGUUAGGGUGGGACUUUUGUGUCUACUUCCUUUCUCCAUGCUGGAGUUUUGUCUAGUUUGAAAUUGUGCAGAUCUUGUGCAUGGCGUCAUAAUCACUACAAAUUAAUAAGUGUACCAGUCCUGUUGUAUCUGUAAGGAGACACAGCUUCCUUAGAGUUGUCCACCACCCCUGGCUCUUAUACUUUUUUGUUUCCUUUUCUAUGUAGAUCCCUGAGCUCAGAGGGAAAGAUUUGAUAAAGAAAUCCCAUCUAGGGCUGAGUGCUCCAAAGAUUCUCACUCUCUGCACAUUGUUCAGUUGUGAAUCUGUUUUAAUUACCAUAUACUGCAAGAAAAAGCUUCUCUGAUGAAGUCGAUCGAUGCUCUGAUCUAUGGAUACAGGAGGCUGAAGUUAACUGGAUCAUUUGCUGCUCAUGGGCCAAGAAAGACAAAGCAAGGAGUGGUUAAUAAAAAGUUGAUGGAUUA